rnacentral:lncRNA from 1 species
UUACAGCAUACGAACCUUGUUGCUAUGCAGCUGUUGUUGGAAAAUAGUCUGUGGGCUCAGAGUUUCUAAACCAACCGUUUAUUGGAUGCCCAGAGAAGGAAGGAAAGCGAGGGCCCUGGCUUGCUGAUUACAAACCAUCUCCAUGGUCACAGGUUGCUGGGUGCUCCUUUUACAAUGUUUUCCCAGCAGCAUUCAGGCAGCAGUAGCUUCCUUUGAUCAUUUUUCAGUUUCUGUUAUUUGCUAAUGAGAGAAAGUUUAUACCUGCUUGUGGGGACAUGAGUGAAGAAAGAGAAGGGACUUUGAAACAGGAGAAGAGAGCAAACUCAAAAGUGUUCUUUCCAGGUACCAUAUGGCCUCAGGCUCCCAUCAUGUUGCAUGCCUUCAACAAAACAUCUCUGCCUGAGAGCUCUCAGUGGCAAUGCAUGGGAAGAAAACAAAGGGAAGAAUGUUGGAGUUUCCUAUUAGAAUAUUUUACACUCUGAAGUAAGUCAGCUUACUAAUGCUUGGACAACCAAUUGUGCUUAUGGGAACCUUUCCAUUGAGAGUCUGAAGAUCUGAGAAAUUCACUAUGACAUCUUCAGAUACAAAAGGGCAGAGGAUGAUCCCUGGCUCCUUCUCUUGUCUUUGUUUUGGUUUCAGCAGUGAUGAAGCAGGAAUCUUUAAAAACAGUUUUAAUUUUCUUGUUUACUUUUUUCUUUGGAAAUAAACUCUUCAGCCCUUGUUAACAACAGCAACAACAACAACAACAACAAACUGGAUUCUCAACAAUUUGGUUCAACUGCCUCAAUGAAUGGUUGUAAGUGAAAAUCAGCCAGUGAACUCUUAGCAGCUCCUGACUUGGAGUUCCAGCUGCCCACUAGACUUUAGGCCCCUGGCUAAUGGACACCUCAAACUCAACAUCUUCCUAACUCAACUCUUUAUCUUCCUUUCUCUACCUGCUCCCACUCUUGCAUUUUUAAAUGCAAGAAAAAAGUGUUGAAAACUUUAUUUUCAAAGAAAAAGUAAUCAAGAAAAUUAAAACUGUUUUUGAAGAUCCAUGCUUGCAUUUUAGUUGCCCAAUAUAGAAACUUUGGAAUUUUCCCUCUUACUUAGACCAAAUUCUUUAGAAUCUAAUUCAGAAAAUAUUUCUUGAAUCUACCCUUUCUUUGUAUCCCUACUUCUACUCCCCCUUUUUAUGUCUUAAUUUGUGCACUCACCUAUGAAUGGUGUUUAUUGCAUGCCUAUACUAUGUAGCACAGGCAACCUGCUCUGUGCUAGGAUACAGAGGUGAACAGGACAUGAUACUUGGUCACUGGAAACUUAUCUCUGUGUGAGGGGUAAGGAAGGAGACAAAAACAAAUAGUGAUGGUAAAAUAUGAUCUUUUUUACACAUGCCAUUUUUCUCCUGAGCCAUUGCAAUAGAUCUUGACCUCUUUCUGCCUUCCUUCUCUCCCUCUUGAUCCAUUCUCUUCAUUGCUAUCAGCAUUACCUUCCUAAAAUACAGACUGGAUCAUGAUCACAGUCAUCUUUGCCUCCCUGUUGCCUAAAGAAUGAAAGCUCUAGUCCUCAGUAUGUUGGUUAAGGCCUUUACAAGCAGACCCAAAUUUACCCGUCCACCUCUCAACUCCUCUCCCCUCUAGCAUUGAACACUAUGCUUUAGCCACACAUAGACUGUUAGUAGGUCUCCAGUAUACCUCAUAAACUCUCACAUAUCUGCCUUUUAUUUUCCUGUCCCUUUAGCCUUGAAUGCCCUUCAAAUCUCAUUCACCCUUUGGCUAGUUCUUACUCAUCUUCCAACUCUUACUCAUCAUUUAAGACUCACCGUCCUCAACUUCCCUACCUUGAGGCAGAAUUAAUUACAUCCUCCUUUGAUAUACCAUAAUUAUAUAAUUUAUUUCAUAUGUUAUAGAUAAUUUAUAGAGGCUGAAUACCCUCUUACCACCUACCAUAGUUCUCAAUAUAUGUUGAGUGAUUUAAAAAAUGUAAAAUAUUGAAAAUAUACAGUGCACCACUGUAGGAGGUGUUCUUAUUUUUACUGGUAAUGCCAUUGUGAAAAAAUAAAAAUACUCAGAGUCCCCAAGUGCCUUUCCAGGGUAAUAAAAAUUCCUGCAUUUGGAAAUAAAAGGAAGUUUCCAUGUGUUUUUUUAUUCCGUCUCUUUCAUGUAAAGUUUGGGGAUACAGGUUGAGACAUUUCUGUUAGGUUAUAUUGAGUUUACGAAGUAUGAGAUGAGACUAAAUGACCUCAAGGAUUCCCAUCAGAGAAAUACGCAGUGGUGAGAGAGGAUUCCUCAGAGAUGUGGGAGGUCAGGAGAAAGUCCCACUUUCACUUUAUGGAUGUGGUUGAAGUUCUUUCACAAUCUAUUUCAUGGUGCUGGUGGUGAGGUAUAUGUGAAUGUGUGUGUGGCAAUACUUGGAGAUAGUUUGAAACUUAGACAUGACAUGACCUCGACAUGACUCACUAGUUGCUGUCAGCGCAUCUUCCCUAAUAACCUGAUGAGUAAGUGGCAAAAAUAUCUGGCCUAAGCUCUUUUUCCUACCAAACCCUGCUUUGAGAAUGCAAACAGGAUGCUUCAGAAAAGAAUAUGCUCCACAUUCAAUUAGAUAAAGAUUUCUCAUACAUUUGGGAAAAAUCACUCAGAAAAUUUUCAACCCUCAUUGCGGAUUAAUCCCCAGAAUUUCGUUUCAUAGACAAUCCACUAUUUCAAAACAUUUCCCAUAGGAAAUUCUAUCAAUGGGUAGGAAGUCUCCAGAAGGUUACAGAUAGUAGCUGGAAUUCUCUCCUUUUUUGUUUUUUUCUUUAACAAAAAACUACAUUUCCAAGAACUAGACCAGAUGAUCCCUAGACGUGGUUUAGUGUUUUGUGUUUUCAGGCUUUUAGAAUGUUGGUGCUGGAAGAGACUUAUGGGAACAUCUGGUUCAGGCCCCUCGCUUUACAAACGGUAUCAGGAAAGUUAAUGGCUUUUUAAGGUCAUCUAGUGUGUCAGGAGUGGAGCUGGGACUAGGACUCUCAGGCGCUCUAACCCUUAGCCAAUGGAUCAUCUUUCCUCCAUGCCAAGUUAGACACAAGACAAAUUACAAGAUGAAGAGAAAUUUUAAAGAAAUGCAGGCCUUUAAACACCCCGAAUAUGGUGUGUACCACUGUUUUCCUGAGACCCGAACUUCACUGUAGGACCACCUCUCAAACGGAGACUUCUAAGAGACUUCUGCUGCCAGCCCUUGCCUUGCACAUCACCUUAGAGGACCUGGAGAUGUUGAUGUGAUAAUGGAUCAAUAUUUAACUUAUUUAACUUAGAUUUUAGGGGCUGGUUAAUUCAACGAACUUAAUUCGUAUUUGCUCUGUCCUCCCAUAACAGACAAGAAUCUCUAGCGCAUCUCCAACUUAGAGCCUCCUUUAUCCCUUAAUCAUUAAAAACUGCUUCCUACUCCCCUGUGAGUGAGUCCCACUUCUCUCUCUUUCUAUCCUGUUCAGGCCCACUCCCACCCUUGCUGCUCCUCAAUGGGACGCUUCACCUGAACCCAUGGAGCCCUGGUUCUAUUAAGAACAAACUCCCCUUAACCUUUCC